GGGUUUUUUGAGGGCGAUCUGGCUGCGACGUCUGUCACUCCAUUGAUCGCCAGGGCUGAUUCGGCUGAUCUGGCUGGCUAGGCGGGUGUCCCCUUCCUCCCUCACCGCUCCCUGUGUGUCUCUCCCGAAGCUGCGCGGGGGGUGAAGAGGACGACCUUCCCCGCUAGAGGAGGACCAACCGUUCUUUGGUCAAGGGUAUGCGAGGAGCUGCGCUCCCCUGCUAGAACCUCCAAACAAGCUCUCAAGAUGUGGGGUUUUUUUGAUGUCUCAAAAUAUUCUCUCCAAAGAACAAUGCCUAUAUUUUCUGAAUAAAUUGAAAAUU
rnacentral:snRNA from 1 species